GCAAUAGAGCCAAUUGACUAUGGACUGAAACCUCUGAAGCUGUGAGCCAAAAUAAACAUUUCUUCUUUUAAAUUUGUUUAUCUCAGGUAUUCUGUCACAGCGACAGAAUGCUAACUCAAUGAUGGAGACAAUAGAUGCUACAGACAAGGAUGAGUCACAGUAUCCCUACUGGUUGAACCCUAAGGGAAGCCUGAGGCACAAGGAGCUCUUGAUGUGGUGCAUACAGAUCAGCUGCCAGGCCAAGGUGGAGAAAGUGGAGAGCAGACCUGGGGGCAAACAGAAGGUGCAGAUGUUUUCAAGAUUAUUAUUGUUUUCAUCCAUGUAUAACUGAGCUCGACUUCCCACCGCUCCUCCCCAGUACCAGGAGCUGAGUAAUGCAUUGAGUCAU